rnacentral:tRNA from 1 species
AGGGUUGUAGUUAAUAAUAACAUUUGAUUUGCAUUCAAAAAAUAUUGAUUUAAUCAAUCUACCUU